rnacentral:rRNA from 1 species
GGGUGAGUAACACGUGGAUAACCUACCUAUAAGACUGGGAUAACUUCGGGAAACCGGAGCUAAUACCGGAUAGUAUAUUGAACCGCAUGGUUCAAUAGUGAAAGACGGUUUUGCUGUCACUUAUAGAUGGAUCCGCGCCGCAUUAGCUAGUUGGUAAGGUAACGGCUUACCAAGGCAACGAUGCGUAGCCGACCUGAGAGGGUGAUCGGCCACACUGGAACUGAGACACGGUCCAG